rnacentral:rRNA from 1 species
CGGCCUUGACAUACUAAGAACUUUCCAGAGAUGGAUUGGUGCCUUCGGGAACUUAGAUACAGGUGCUGCAUGGCUGUCGUCAGCUCGUGUCGUGAGAUGUUGGGUUAAGUCCCGCAACGAGCGCAACCCUUUUCCUUAUUUGCCAGCGGGUCAUGCCGGGAACUUUAAGGAUACUGCCAGUGACAAACUGGAGGAAGGCGGGGACGACGUCAAGUCAUCAUGGCCCUUACGGCCAGGGCUACACACGUGCUACAAUGGUCGGUACAAAGGGUUGCUACCUCGCGAGAGGAUGCUAAUCUCAAAAAGCCGAUCGUAGUCCGGAUCGCAGUCUGCAACUCGACUGCGUGAAGUCGGAAUCGCUAGUAAUCGCGGAUCAGAAUGCCGCGGUGAAUACGUUCCCGGGCCUUGUACAUACCGCCCGUCACACCAUGGGAGUUUGUUGCACCAGAAGUAGGUAGUCUAACCGCAAGGAGGACGCUUACCACGGUGUGGCCGAUGACUGGGGUGAAGUCGUAACAAGGUAGGCGUAGAUGA